rnacentral:rRNA from 1 species
CUCCUCCCUCCGACUGGAGGUCACUGGUGAGACGUGGCGAGACCUGCUGUGGGAGGGGGUGGUCCAAGUAGGAGGAUUAAGCAGAAUUAGUAGGGUUUUAAAAAACAGAAUGGUGUCAAUUCUUUAUGCUAAGUACAAACGAUAACGUAAACCUCGAGGUAGGAAUGUUGAAUACCUAUUAUACUUAUGUAGUUCCACAAAACCAAGAGGGGUAAGACAUACAAGCGUUACCUCACAUAUAUAACAACUAAAUACAGUACCACUAACUUAAACUAACGUCUCUCUUUCACGUUUUCGAUACCCGUUAGGAUAUACUGACCGCGGUAGUCAUUCCUAAAUAAAUUUCGAUCGAAUGAAAACCCAGAUUCGGUUCAAAUAAAGAAAGCGUCUAAAUAAGUGGAAUAACCCUGCCACCCCAAUUAUAUAUAUGUAGUUGAAACUCGUAGUCGUUGCGUACUUCGAACGAAGACUCCGACGUUGUAUGAAACGUUAGGGGGACACUUUGUAUGAAAACAGUGAUACGUGUAUACCAAUAAGCUUGCUUAACUAAAGCUAAUCUGAUAGAAAAAGGAUUAAUGAACAAUAUACUACAAGAAAUGAUAAGUCUCCAACAACUUCCCUC